CCUACGGGGGGCAGCAGUGGGGAAUAUUGCACAAUGGGCGCAAGCCUGAUGCAGCCAUGCCGCGUGUGUGAAGAAGGCCUUCGGGUUGUAAAGCACUUUCAGCGGGGAGGAAGGCGGUGAGGUUAAUAACCUCAUCGAUUGACGUUACCCGCAGAAGAAGCACCGGCUAACUCCGUGCCAGCAGCCGCGGUAAUACGGAGGGUGCAAGCGUUAAUCGGAAUUACUGGGCGUAAAGCGCACGCAGGCGGUCUGUCAAGUCGGAUGUGAAAUCCCCGGGCUCAACCUGGGAACUGCAUUCGAAACUGGCAGGCUAGAGUCUUGUAGAGGGGGGUAGAAUUCCAGGUGUAGCGGUGAAAUGCGUAGAGAUCUGGAGGAAUACCGGUGGCGAAGGCGGCCCCCUGGACAAAGGCUGACGCUCAGGUGCGAAAGCGUGGGGAGCAAACAGGAUUAGAUACCCUUGUAGUC
rnacentral:rRNA from 1 species